GGGUGCAGUCACGGGGCUCGGCUCUCGCUGCCGUGGCGGGGACGUGGUGGAACCGCUCACUUGAUGGGAACGCUGCCACCAACAGCCACGCGAUCCUUAAGGAAGUCAGACAGGAAGGACCUUCUUGGAAGAAUCGAAUGGGAACGGGUCCUGGAAGGGGGCAGUGAGCCAGGAGAGCUGGUUAAUAUUCAAAGAUGGCUGCCUGCAGCCUCGAGGCCGACAACGCGGUGCGCCACGACAGCUCCAAGCGCAGCAGCAGCACCCCAACACAGCGCACCCCCAACACAACGCUGCACUCCAAACACGGCGGCGUGGCGCUGGGAAGGGCAGCGCUCCCUGUCCGGACUCGCAGAGCUCUCAGCUCCCACCAGCUGCGUUGGGAAGCAGGCGAGGGCGAAGAGGACGAGCCCCCCACCCCAACAAGCGUGACCUCGUUGGCCGUACCUGGUGUCUGGCACGUGUUUCAGGUUGUAAACCGGGCGGUUGGAGAAUCCUCCACAUUCCACCUUGAAAUCUCUCUCUGGACACAGACCCUGGAAAGGGAAGGCGAACACAUUUCAUCCCAUUUAACGGCACAGAAUGCAGCCCGGUCAGUUAACCCACAAACAGAAGCCUCUGCCCGCCCACUCACACCGAUUUCAACCACAGCAUUGAAAGAUCCCGAUACACUUCAGGGAAAAAAGCCACGUUUGAGGCUCCUGCCGACAGCUCCGGGGAGGUUUGCUGCUGUCUGCGCCCACCCGGCCGAACACCACUCCCGCCUUCAGCUCACACAUCACCCACUCCACGCGCAGCGCACAGCACUGCGGCUCCGCAGCUCAGGCAUCUCAGAGAGCCCCCUCUGCGUCCGCGCGGCUGCAGCACCCACCCGGCUCUCCUUCGCUUCCAGUGCUGCUGGUGGCAGCAGCUGCAGGAUCUCAUUCCUUCCAGCGCAGCCAUAGCCGGCCACGCACACACCUUUGGGAGGCCCAGAGAUGCAGUGAGAGACCCCCUCCCCAAAGGCACACCCCCGAGUUACAGUACUGCCCACCUUAAACCCAGGCCCACCCAGAGCCCAAGCCCAGACUGAAACUCCAUGUGUCCCCAGCCCCACGGCACCCCCCCCUUUCACCCUGGGGUCCCAACCCAGCCCCACGGCACCUCUCCAUCCCAUAGGCCCCAACCCAGCCCCAUGGCACCUCUCCAUUCCAUAGGCCCCAACCCAGCCCCAUGGCACCUCUCCAUCCCAUUGGCCCCAACCCAGCCCCAUGGCACCUCUUCAUCCCAUUGGCCCCAACCCAGCCCCAUGGCACCUCUCCAUCCCACUGAGCCCCACCCCAGCCCCACAGCACCUCUCCAUCCCAUAGGCCCCAACCGAGCCCCAUGGCACCUCUCCAUCCCAUAGGCCCCAACCCAGCCCCAUGGCACCUCUCCAUCCCACUGAGCCCCAACCCCAACCCUGCCCCACAGCACCUCUCCAUCCCAUAGGCCCCAACCCAGCCCCAUGGCACCUCUCCUCCCCCAUAGGCCCCCAACCAUCCCCUCGCCCACCUCCAAAGGACCUCAGCUCCCAUCUCUCGGCCUCCCUCCUCCCCCUCCCCACUCACGCUUCCCCAGGGCCCAUUCGAUAACGCGGGUGGGAGCCUGGAGCUCGAAGGCGUGCAGAGCCUCGUACCUACGAGGAGAGGGGGGCGGCGGUGAGAAGUCGGAGGGGGGGGGAGGCCGAAGGGCCGAGGUCGGGAUCGCUCACAGGUGCAAGGAUUGCAGCAACCACUCUUCUUCCUCCUCCUCCUCCUCCUCCUCCUCACCACGUUCCCCCGCCGCCUCCAUGGCAACCGCUGCAGGGCGCGCAGUACUGACGUCACGAUCGGCGCACUUUACUGACGUGGCGCGGCGGCGCGCAGCAAUGACGUCGCAGCGGGCGGUUCGCGCGCUGCUGUGGGCCGUUUUGGCGCCAGAUGGGUUCCGUGAGGGAGCGAUGGUGGGACGCGUUGUUAUGAAUCAGAGCGAAAUGCCCUCAUUUGUGUGUCCUGUCCUCACAAAAAGACCCCAAUUCUCACCUAAAUAUUCACAUCUGUGUAUCCUCUCUUCAUAAGACCCAAAUUCCCACAUCUAUGUGUCAUCUCUUCAUAAACAAGGCCCAAAUUUCCACCUAAAUACCCACAUCUGUGUGUCCUCUUCCUAAAUAACACCCAAAUUCCCACCUAAACACCCACAUUUGUGUAUUUUCUCUUCAUAAGACCCAAAUUCCCACAUUUUUGUACCCUCUCCUCACAAAAAGACCCCAAUUCGCACAUUUAUGUGUUGUCUCUUCCUCAAUAAGACCCAAAUUCCCACCUAAAUACCCAAAUUUCUGUAUCUCCCUAAACAAGACCCAAAUUUCCACCUAAAUAUCCACAUUUGUGUACCUUCUCUUCAUAAAUACAACCCAAAUUCCCACCUAAACACCCAAAUUUGUCUAUUUUCUCUUCAUAAGACCCCAAAUUCCCACAUUCUUGUACCCUCUCCUCACAAAAAGACCCAAAUUCCCACAUUUAUGUGUUAUCUCUUCCUCAAUAAGACCCAAAUUCCCACCUAAAUACCCAAAUUUCUCUAUCUUCCUAAACAAGACCCAAAUUUCCACCUAAAUAUCCACAUUUGUGUAUCCUCUCUUCAUAAGACCCAAAUUCCCACAUCUAUGUGUCAUCUCUUCAUAAACAAGGCCCAAAUUUCCACCUAAAUACCCACAUCUGUGUGUCCUCUUCCUAAAAAAGGCCCAAAUUCCCACAUUUUCGUACCCUCUCCUCACAAACAGACCCAAAUUCCCACGUGUGUGUGUCCUCUCUUCAUAAACAAGACCCAAAUUCUCACCUAAAUAUCCAUAUUUGUGUAUCUUCUCUUCAUGAAUAAGACCCAAAUUCCCACAUUUAUGCAUUCUCUUCAUAAGCAAGACCCAAAUUUCCACCUAAAUAUCCACAUUUGUGUAUCUUCUCUUCGUAAAUACGACCCAAAUUCCCACAUUUGUGUAUCUUCUCUUCCUAAGUAACACCCAAAUUUCCACCUAAAUACCCAAAUUUGUUUAUUUUCUCUUCAUAAGACCCCAAAUUCCCACAUCUUUGUACCCUCUCCUCACAAAAAGACCCAAAUUCCCACAUUUAUGUGUUAUCUCUUCCUCAAUAAGACCCAAAUUCCCACCUAAAUACCCAAAUUUCUCUAUCUUCCUAAACAAGACCCAAAUUUCCACCUAAAUAUCCACAUUUGUGUAUCCUCUCUUCAUAAGACCCAAAUUCCCACAUCUAUGUGUCAUCUCUUCAUAAACAAGGCCCAAAUUUCCACCUAAAUACCCACAUCUGUGUGUCCUCUUCCUAAAAAAGGCCCCAAUUCCCACAUUUUCGUACCCUCUCCUCACAAACAGACCCAAAUUCCCACACGUGUGUGUCCUCUCUUCAUAAACAGGACCCAAAUUCUCACCUAAAUAUCCACAUUUGUGUAUCUUCUCUUCAUGAAUAAGACCCAAAUUCCCACAUUUGUGUGUUCUCUUCCUAAAUAACACCCAAAUUCCCACCUAAACACCCACAUUUGUGUAUUUUCUCUUCAUAAGACCCCAAAUUCCCACAUUUUUGUACCCUCUCCUCACAAAAAGACCCAAAUUCCCACAUUUAUGUGUUGUCUCUUCCUCAAUAAGACCAAAUUUCCACCUAAAUACCCACAUUUGUGUAUCCUCUCUUCAUAAGACCCAAAUUCCCACAUCGAUGUGUCAUCUCUUCAUAAACAAGGCCCAAAUUUCCACCUAAAUACCCACAUCUGUGUGUCCUCUUCCUAAAAAAGGCCCAAAUUCCCACAUUUUCAUACCCUCUCCUCACAAACAGACCCAAAUUCCCACAUUUAUGCAUUCUCUUCAUAAACAAGACCCAAAUUUCCACCUAAAUAUCCACAUUUGUGUAUCUUCUCUUCAUAAAUACAACCCAAAUUCCCACCUAAACACCCACAUUUGUCUAUUUUCUCUUCAUAAGACCCCAAAUUCCCACAUUUUUAUACCCUCUCCUCACAAAAAGACCCAAAUUCCCACAUUUAUGUGUUGUCUCUUCCUCAAUAAGACCCAAAUUCCCACCUAAAUACCCAAAUUUCUGUAUCUCCCUAAACAAGACCCACAUUUCCACUUAAAUAUCCACAUUUGUGUAUCCUCUCUUCAUAAGACCCAAAUUCCCACAUUUUUGUGUCAUCUCUUCAUAAACAAGGCCCAAAUUCCCACCUAAAUACCCAAAUUUGUGUAUCUUCUCUUCAUGAAUUAGACCCAAACUCCCCCAUUUUUUGUCCUCUUCCUAAAUAAGACCCAAAUUCCCCCUAAGUACCCACAUCUGUGUAUAAUCUCUUAAUGAAUAGGACUCUAAUACCCAUAUUUUUGUUCCCUCUCCUCAUCAAAAGGCCAAAAAUUCCCACAAUUUUGUGUCUUCUUUUCAUAAACAAGACCCAAAUUCCCACAUUUGUUUGUCCUCUUCAUAAAAAAGACCCAAAAUCCCACCUGAAUACCCACAUUUUUUAUCUUCUCUUCAUGAAUAAAAUCCAGAUCCCCCCAUUUAUGUGUCCUCUUCCUAAACAAGACCCAAAUUCCCACCUAAAUAUCCACGUUUGUGUAUCUUCUCUUCAUAAAUACGACCCAAAUUCCCACAUUAGUGCGUUCUCUUCCUAAGUAACACCCAAAUUCCCACCUAAAUACCCACAUUUGUGUAUUUUCUCUUCAUAAGACCCCAAAUUCCCACAUUUUUGUACCCUCUCCUCACAAAAAGACCCAAAUUCCCACAUUUAUGUGUUGUUUCUUCCUUAAUAAGACCCAAAUUCCCACCUAAACACCCCAAUUUGUGUAGUCUUCAUAAGACCCAAAUUCCCACAUUUUUAUACCCUCGCCUCACAAAAAGACCCAAAUUCCCACAUUUAUGUGUUGUCUCUUCCUCAAUAACACCCAAAUUCCCACCUAAAUUUUCACAUCUUUGCAUCGUCUCCUCGUAAGACCCAAAAUUCCCACCUAAAUAUCCACAUUUGUGUCUCCUCUUCCUAAAUAAGACCCAAAUCCCCACAUUUACAUCGUCUCUUCCUCAAUAAGACCCACAUUCCCACCUAAAUACCCACGUUUACGUGUCAUCUCUUCCUCAGUAAGCCCCAAAUCCCCCCAUUUAUGUGCCCUCUCUUCUCAAACUCCCACACACGGGUGUGGGGUUGCAUUCAGAAAUCCCCCAGCCUGUCCCAUAUUACCACCCCAGCCCUUCACACCACGUCAGGGCUCUGAGAGGUGUCAGGACAGCGCAGGGACAGUGCCAGCAGCCCGUGGGGAGCCCACAAGAGGAUGUUUACCACCAUUAGAAACAGGAGGAAAAGCUUUAUUCCAGCAAAUCUAAACGUUGUUAUUUAUAAUGGAACGAAAGCGGAACGGACGGGCCAGGCCUGGGAAGCAGAGAUGGGUCCUUCAGAGCUCUCCGGGCUGCAGCCAACCCUUGGGCUUCUGCAUCCUGCACAGCUCAGGAGGGCUUCUAUGCAUCUCCUGGGCUCUCCUGAAAGACAAAGCGUGGUGUCAGUGUGGUUUAUCACGCCUCGUAUGACAUGACAGUUCUGGGGAUGCCACAUCUCAAGGGAUGAACGCAACCACUGGAGCAGGUUGCCCAAGGAGGCUGUGGAUGCCCCAUCCCUGCAGGCAUUCAAGGCCAGGCUGGAUGUGGCUCUGGGCAGCCUGGGCUGCUGGUUGGCGACCCUGCACAUAGCAGGGGGUUGGAACUGGAUGAGCACUGUGGUCCUUUGCAACCCAGGCCCUUCUAUGACUCUAUGAUAUGCCACGAUUCCCUGUCUGUGCCUCUAAGUUCACUUCUCUGUGAGCCACAGAGGACUUCUUCAGAGCCUAUGUGUUGAGCCGAGACCGCUGCUGCUCUUCUUUUCGCUCGUUUUCCAGUUCCUUGCCUGCUUUCUCUUGCAACUAGAAGAGGGAGGAUUUAUAUCUUCCUUCCAGCCAGCUCAUCCAUGGGAAAGCUGAUCUGAUGCAACAGCAGCAGCUUUGCUGUAGUUCGGGUGAACCGCAUCAGACUUGGAUUUGAGCUGCACAGCACAGCUCUCAGCAGCAACGGGCACUGCAGGAAAACCCCAUGGGCUGAUGUUGGAGCUGACCCUGCUGCCCGGCAGCCCCUGCCCGGCCUCUGCCGUGUCUGACUUCCAUCAUUUUUGGGGGGGAAGGGGGGGGGGGGGGGGAGAAAUCUUGUCUUUCUUCCAACGUAGGCAACAUUCUCAUUUCUGACAGGAACGAAUGCUUUGUUUGGGCUCCGUGCAGCUGUGCUGUCACGCCAACGUCGGCUCUUGGAGCAGCCGGCCCGAACGCACUUCUAUAUAUAGGAACCCGGUGUUCCUACAUUCAACUUCUCUUUGGGCCCAAACCAAAACAGCUUUCUGCGGGGAUACUGAGGAGCGUUUGUAUCCUUCGGGUGCGUCCUCACCUCUCAGCUCGCAGCACCGGCAGAACCGGAGGAGCAAGAAUGGCUGGGAAAGGGCAUAGAUGGGAGGAGAGCAUCCAGAAGCUGCUGUUUCCCAACCCCCACCUCCCCCCUCCCCCCCCAACCCUCCAAGUGUGUUGGUUCUAAUGGAGAUGGGAGCACCGCUUACCUCUCCUGGAGGAGGAGGGGGAAGAGGAGGAGUGGGGUUAUUUCUUUUGUCCAAUCUUUGACGGCGCCACCUGUAAAAUAAAGCGCUCCGUGUCUGCUGGAGGGAGAUGUUGUGCAGGAUGAGAUGUGCUGCGGUUUAGGGCCAAAAGCGAAGCAGUGAGAGGAUGAGGCAGAGCUCUCCAAAAAUCUUUCUUUGCCCAGUUCUUUUCUCCACUGAAAGAAGGGGAAAUCAAAGGAAGGGGUAAAGGAACUAAGAGGGGAAAAAAAAAAGGAACAACCGAGUGGGAGAAGCAAAGGUUUAUGAAAGAAUACCUAGAAGUUAGACAAGAAUUCUCAUUUCAGAAUUGCUAUGGGAAAAAAAAAAAAUGCCAGAAUGGGUUAAAAGGGAUGAAGCUCUAGCAGCCAUUUCCAGGUAAGAAACAGCAGUGGGAGAGCUCUGUUUACAGCUCAGGGCACGGUUGGUCGCAUUACUCCACAUGGAAAGAAAGCAUAGAACCACAGAAUCGUUGAGGUUGGAGAACACCUCUCAGGUCCCCACAUCCACCCGCAGCCCACCAUAUGCCCGCUGCCCACGUCCCUCAGUGCCACAUCCCCACUGUGCUGGGAAGCCUCCAGGGACGGUGACCCCAACCCUGGGCACCCUGAGAGCCUGGGGUAGGGAUUGCUGAUUGCUGGAGCACGCCUACCUGUGGAUAUACCGUACGAUUUCAGCCCUCUUGUACAGCACAAUGCCCGAAAUCAGGAUGAAAAGAAGCAGCGUUCCAACAGCUUUUACCGUAGCUCCAUACACUUGGAAAGGAAAACAAACAACAUGACACUCCGUGCACAUAAGACAUACUGGUUGGAAUGGCAGCUCGUCAAGUAUUCCCCAGUGCACAAAGGACCAGGAGCUCGUGUGCAUGCCCCAGGACACCUCCGUGAUGGCCUAGGUGGGCUCUGCCAGCGUUCUCUCUCAGAAGCAAGCAGAAGCCACAAGGCGUUCAUCGAGGAGGGUAAAGUGAUGCUAAGCAGGCCUGGGAACAAGGAGCCUUUGGCACUGCAUUGUGAGGAGGUUGAGGAUGUCACACACGAGCAAGGCAGCUUCCCAGGACGCACAGAGAAGGGCACGCAGGUGAAGGAACACCCAGAUAUAGCCAGAAGGCGCGACUGAGGAGCCAACACGGGGACACCAGCUGGAGCCGAAGCAUCAGCAUCAGCCAUUCCCCGUGGAUUGAGGAGCACAGCACAGCCCCUUGGGUCCCUUCGUCUCCAUGCAAAGUAGGUGAGGUACCACAAUGAUAUUGGAGGAACAGCUGAUGUGAGGUACAGAGUGCUAACUGCUCUAAAGAGCUCGAUUUCCACAGUGCCAGCGGGCCCAUUGCUGCUUCAUUUGCCAUUUGCCUGGCCAAGCAAUCAGCAGAAAGGGCUCAGAGCUCUUCAUCAUCAUCAGGACCGAUGGGCAGAGAGGGCCAGGGAAGAGCUUGAAAGCCAUCCGUGGUCAGGAGCUGGGGGUUGUGCAGCUCUGCUGAGUGACUGCGUGGUUUUGCUCAUCAGCAAGUCGUUACGCUUAAUAGAUGGGAAGGCAGAAGAGCAUCUCUCAGGGGUACGUGCCCGGAAAAUAUUUAUUUAUGUGCUGUCAUCCCAGGAUUGCAGCUCUGCUGGAGAUGUCUAUUAAGAGGAGUGGAAAAUUCUCCUAAGAGGGUUCUGAUGAGCUCAACAGACACUCCUCAUCAGCUGUCUUAAUGAACUGCGUGCUGGCUGCUUGGCUCUGCUGCUUAAUGGGAUCGAUCUGUAGUUCCUGUGGGUGCCCUGGCAGCAGCCAGAGAGAGGGCAGGCAGGGCAAGAACCACCGCACUGAUAAAAAGGAGGCGAGAUAAGAGGGAAAAAAAAAAGAGAAUAAAAUAGAAUAGAAAUAAAAUAGUAGAGUAGAAUAGGGGAGAGUUGAGCAGAGCACAGAAGAAAUCUCAGGUGGAAGGGGCCUGUGAAGCUCAAGUCCAGUCAAAUCCAAGUCUGAUGUGGCUAAAUAGCAAAGGGAAAAGAGAUGCCUGAACCAAGGCUGGGAUGAUCUGAAGGCACAGGUGGAAAUCUACCAGGCUUGCUCAGGAGAAAACGAUGCUGAGAGGCGGUACGAUGAGCAGAGUGGUUGCACCACACCCUGCACUACGCUCACCGUAGUAAGAAGGAGGUGGUCCGCUGUCAACGCUGCCUCCAAACCCUUCUGCCUUGCAGUCCGGAGGGGCCCACCCGACAUCGCAGUGGCAGUUGUUCUUGUUGUUGCAGACCUGAAAGAAAACGAACGUUUUACGGCAUGAAAAACGCAGCAGCCGUGUGGUGGCCCCCUGCUUUCCCAGGGUGUUGGCCUCCAGCACUGCGUCUCAGGACCAGCAGAGGAGGGCAGGAUGGGACCCACACCCUGAGGCAAAUUUGUCACUCUCCUUUGGCAGCCACCGUUUAACCUCUGUGGUGUGCAGGUGGCAGAUGGGUGCCCCGAACACAGCUGUCACAAGCUGUGUGCUCGCUGUGUUGGUGACGUGAAGGCAGCAGCAGCUCCCCAUCCAUCCCUUCACCCUCUCGCUGUGAUGAUGGUCCUGCAGAGAGAGGCUGCAAACACAGCAGGAGGAGCUGAGAGCGCACAGAGGGUGAGGGAUGGCUGCGUUUGCCUUUCUCCGGCUUAGCAGGAAUGCUUUCUGCCCGUCUCUGUCCGUUUUCGUCUCAGCAUCAGAAAGCUCUUGUGCAGCUUGCAGAUCUGCCCUCCUUUUGUGGAGGCUGUAACUGUUUCUGCCACGACAACGCAGCAUUUCACAAACGUGUCCCAGAUGAAUUUGUCACCUUCGUGUGAUUCGAAAUGAAGAUAAAGACAGGCAAAGGUGAUGGCAAAGCUCUCCUUUAGCAUCCACUCUGACACGCAGACAGACCUGCUCCUCUGCAGGGAUAUCUGUCUGGAAAGAGGGGCAGGUAUGGGUGGCAUCACCAAUAAACCCCCGUGUGAAGAAAUUCUGCCAGUGUUGCUGCCUGAAACGUGGGUUUUAUGUACGGCUGCAUCGAAACGCUGUGCAAGAUCUGCCGUUUCUGUGGCAUUUGCAAGGAGAGCAAAUACAGAGCAUGCAUUUUUCAGAAGAUCGCUCCGACUCUGGCUGAUUUAGAUUCAGUAGCACUGACAGCUGCACUGAAGGAUGAAGUGUUACGAUGCAGAAGUCACCUUUUGCAGUGUUUGUGGGAAUGGAGAAGAAAAAUGGCAGAAGAAGGCAAUGAACACCGAGAUGGAGGGCUGCAAGCUGUCAGAGCAGGAUCCGGGGGGAAGUCAUGUGUGGGAACCAAAACAAUGUUUGUGCUGCUGAGCCAGGAACCAUUCUGGACCUCUACGUUGCUCUGAAAGGCAAAUUUACAUUUCACAUCCUCUGCUCUUCAAAGGACAGUUGGAGGUUUUCUACCUACCCCUCUGCCAUGGCACUGUUUCGCUGUACAGUCGCUGUUGAGGAAAGCUGCACUGACACACGUCCUGUUGAUGCAUAUCUGCAGGAAGAAGGCAGAUCUGUGUUAGUGAGAAAGUAAAACAACAGGUUUAGGAGAGGGCACUGACUGGUGAAGUGGGACAAAAUCACAGAUCCAGUUCCUUUUGUUCGAGGCCUUCCAUUCCCUCUCUCUAAAGAAGCAACAGGGGAAGGAAUAGGAGCAAAAAGGGAAGCUCUUGUGUUCCGAGUUCGGGACAAAGCAAAGGGGAGGCUGAAGAAACCCAACUGAGUGAGCAUCACAGCAUGCACAGAAACCAGUUCUACCUCAGGAGUCGCUCAUUUGCUGCCAACACCCAACAGCUGUGCCAGCCUGUACCGAGGACCCCACGUCCCUGCUCUGCUCACACCCCUCCUUCAAUACCUGCCCAAGGCCAGGGAGGGUGGAUGGGUUUUGGAUGGACCCCUCACAACCACCCUGAUCUUCAUAGAUAUGCGCUCAGUGAGCAACGUGGAGCAUCCUCAUACCCUCAGGAAGCACACAGGUGUCUCCUCUGUGCAGGAGGAGAUGCAUUUUCAGCUUCUGGCCUUGCAAAUUAACUGUUUUUGCAACGGCGGUGUUUGGUGGGAGUCACGGCACCCAUCUCUUCUGAAAGGGGAACUCUACCACAGCCGGCGCUGAAGAGCUCCUUCCCCUCUGGUGAAACUCAGCACGCGUGUUCUUCUCGGAAAUAUCCUCUGCCAUAUGGUAGCAAGAAAUGCUCCUUCAGUACGUCACCGCCUUGACAGGACUUUGGCAUUCUGAGUGCCUCACAGGGGAAGAAAUGAGUCCUAUUCUUGGAAGAGCGUUUGAAAUUCUUUUGUGUGCGCAACAAACAAACGUUGGCUUUGAUUGGUUGCUCCCAAAGAAGCGGAGAAUCUUUUACUUCCCUCUUCUAAUGGAAAGACAGCUGUGUGCUGCCAACAACAAAAGCUACGACAGCACAGUGCUGUUUUUCAGCUGCUAAGGGAGGCUUGAGGAGGAGGGGGCUGACAUCUGACAUCAGAGGUCAUGCAUGUUUUCUUUAGGGAGAAAAUCCUUCCCUUUCAUCCCCGUCGUGCUCUAUUCUAGCUAUCUAUGGGUACC